rnacentral:lncRNA from 1 species
CAGCAACCUGGCAUCCAAGCCUCAUAUCCAUCUACACCACAGCUCACAGUGGCAAUGCCAGAUCCCCAACCCACUGAGGAAGGCCAGGGAUCGAACCUGCAUCCUCAUGGAUAAGAGUCAGAUCCGUUUCUGCUGUGCCGCAAUGGGAACUCCGAGACCCUGCAUAAUUUAUUUUUCACUCGAUUUGGAUUUUUUUAAGGUGUUAAAAAGAAAAACCCUAGGUGAAUAUUACAGAUCAUAUCACUGAUGCCCAAGAUAAAUCUGAGACUCUGAUUCUUUCCUUUUUUUUUUCCCCUUUUUUUUUUCCUUUUUGGCCACCCAGAGCCAUAACUGAUUAUUUAUCUAAUCGCAAACAUUAUCAAUCUAUGCAGUAGCAGAUCAACUGUCAAUCUUGAUCACCCACACACACCUGGAAGUGGUACCAGAAGUAAGAGAGUGUCGGGUAUGAGAAUGAAAAUUUAUCUUUCAGAAUUGCUCUUAACAGAAGGGAGAAAAUCUUCAGAAGUCAUCUUCAUAGAUUUUAUUCCUAAAUAUAGAUGCUUUUAAAUUGCUUGAAGAAACCCCUUCAGAAUAUUUGGAGAAGAAUCAACAGGACAGUGAGUCAGACUCCUUCAGCUGUUUCUACUUCUAAAACUCCUAAUUUUGCAAAGUACAUUGGCUGUUUUGGGCUAUUGCUGCAGUGACCUAGUCUGAAUGCUACGCUGGCCAGCUUGCUCCAAGAAUUAAUGGACUUCAAGCCUGGAUAAUGUGUCCCAGAGAAGGUAAAGGAGAAAAAGCACCUUGCUAUACUCGCUUUGCACUUAUUAUUCCACUCCCAUGAAGAUUCCAGGAAGCCACUGGAGCUUCUCUUAUUCUUGACAGUGAAAGUGAGUUGGGAAUGUGGAAGGAUUAACAAGUCCUAGAGACUGAACCUCAGCACCUCUGAAUCCAGUAAAAUCGUUAGCCGUCCCCAUUCCCUGAAGACUGUCUCUAAGUGAUUUUGCCAAAACAAGUCUCUCUACCAGUAGGAGAUUGUCAAGGCUCCAAUUAGUAAAUCCCUAAGCCCCAAAGUCAAUUAUGUGGGUAUGAAAAGUGCUGGAAAACUCUCAUUCCUGGGAAAAGAAAGAAUCAGAUAGGCCAUUAGCCCCACUGGGUGCAUAGAAGGGUUAGAAUCCACCACAAAAAGCAAUGUUCAUGCUUCUACUGAAAUGGAAUAAAGAUGACUGGAUGACUAUACUGUUAGAUCCG